rnacentral:tRNA from 1 species
AUUAAGGUGUCUGAUUUAUAGGUGGUAAAUUGUAAAUUUAUUUAAGAAAAUUUUUUCUCUUAAUA